ensembl:lncRNA
CACACACACACACACACACACUGCCCACCGGCUGAUAUAUAGGUUGCUGUGGCGGGCGACUGUAAAUACUCUGAGUCCUUGAGAUAAAGUCAAGGAGAUUUUUUUUCCAUAGAGAGGAUGGGGUGGGUGAACUAUAACCAUGGGUCCUCUUCAUCUCCAGCGAUCAUUUCAGGUUCCAGAAAAAUCAAAGGCUCUCUCUCUCUUUCUAUAUAAAUAUCUCUCUCUCUCUCUCUCUCUCUCUCUCUCUCUCUCUCUCUCUCUCACUCUCUCCCCUUUGGAGCAGUGCUUUUGAUACUGUUUAAAAGCAGGACCACAUUAAAGAGCUUGGGGAAAAAUAAAUCGGCAAAUGGGUAAUUCAAGCCAGCCAGAGUGUUACUCCUCUCUCUCUCUCUCUCCCUGACCAAAGAGGACUAGGUGUGAAGUGGCCUGGCAGUGGGAUAAUAAUGGCUUUCAAAACACAGACCGAAAGACGCUCCUCUCCUCUCCGGAUCAGCCUGGUGGGUGUGAGGUCAUAUCCAGGAUGGCCGGCUCCGUGGAUGGCUUCGUCCGUCGGUCUGUUUGUCCGCCUCUACUGUAUGUCUGUCUGUUUGUCUGUCAGAUAAGAACCCCUUCAGGGACCAGCCAUGCCAGGAGGGGGGGUUUAGUUUGCGGUCGAUGUGUUGCCCCUGCCACCUUCACAUCACGGAGAACUGGGAUUGGCUGGGAGAUUUGAACUCUCCACGGAGAACUGGGAUUGGCUGGAGAGAUUUGAACUCUCCACGGAGAACUGGGAUUGGCUGGGAGAUUUGAACUCUCCACCAAUCGCCCUGGCCCCAUAUGCACUCCCUUUAUUAUUCCCACUUCACACCAGUGUGCAGAUGUAAGGAGGACGUCACAGCCGACUGUCAGAAAACAGCGAGACCUUGUCCAAGUAGUGACCUUCUCCGGGCGAUGAGGCCUAUAAGGAGGGAGAGUCCUUGGGCAGCAGUGUGAUUAAAAUGGUAAGUCGUUUUGGAGUUUGGACAUUCCCGAUUCAGGACGAUUCGCGUCGUCACCCGCUCGCCGCACUCUUGGAGCUUGUUAAAAAAAAUGACGAGAAGAACUUUCUUUCACUCCAAAGGCUCUGUGAAGGGGCAUACUUUUUAAAGGACCUUAUCCAUUUCUUAGGAUAGGUUACAGGACCAAAAAAAAAACACAGGAAUCAUAAGAGAUUGAGUACACGCAGACCUCUGUGAAUGUUAGACUUUCUGGCGGCGCCACUUCUGUAUAUGUAGCAACCUCUCUCCUGUGUCAAAAGGACCGUGGGACAUCAGAGCCGCGUGCUUACUCAAUCUCCAGUGAUUUAUGCCUGUGUGUGUGGCACUCCGACAAGAGCUAAAUGACUGUUCUUUGUAAGACUUCUUUCUAGAGCACAAGUAUUCUACCUGCGUUUUCCGAAUGCAACCAGGUAGACAUACUUGUGGUCCAAUCUUCAGCAAUAUAUACUGAUGUGUAUGAAAUUCUUCUUGUUUGUUUGUUUUUUUUUCUUUUUUGUACUGUAUUAGUAUUUCAGGUUGCGUCAAACAUGUAGCAUUUGACACAGACCAACAACAGUGACGUCGUGCUUCCAAACUUUCGAUGCACUCUCACUUUCCCCAGCCCCUUCCUUCCCCCAUUUACGAUGUCUUGCUGUGUGAAGCUUGCGCUCUGUUAUGGGUUGACCAUUGAUCUGUAUGGUAGACACACGCUCAUAUAGUCACAUAAAAAAAAAAAAAAUUGCAUUGUAUUCAAGCGCUCGGGCGACACGUUCGUUAGUUAGAUUUGUAAGUCGUGUACAGUGUAAAUCUGCAGACCACUUGUCGUUCCAUUCGUUUCGGUGGUACUUUCUUUUGACGUCUAUGUACUCUAUGUACCAUGUAGACUGUACCACUUGUCUAAACGUGCUAAACUUUGUUGAAUACCUGGUUUAUAUAAGGGCUUUUUAUAGAGACAAACAAACAAACAAAUAAAUAAACAAAACUACAGAAACCACAAUUCCAUUUGGGCUCCGACAUUAAGGCUCCCUCCUCUCACUGUCACUGUGGUGUGCUGACACCCAGGGUCACCCGGAUUGCUGCUGCGUCCAAAUUAAUGAAUUCCCUCAGCCGUGGGCUCUGAUUUCCGCCCCAGAGACGCUUCUUCUGUUGGUCGUUAUCUGGCACAAGCUGUACACCUCGGGAGAAUGGGAGACGUCCUGACCGCCUAAGAGGCAAAAAAAGGGC